CAAAAAGGCCCUGCCACGCACCAGUUAAUCUAAUAAAAAAUAUAGCUACCGACCAGCCAAUCAGAAAAUAGAAUUGCUGUAUCCGGGUAAGAUUUAGCUAUUCCCGCCACAACAACGUUUACGUUCUGAUUCCAACGACACAUUCUGUGAUUCACGGGGCUCGCUCACUGAUUCAGAUGUUCGCUGUAGUAGUUAGCUACAGAAGAUGACAUCUGCCAGUCACAUUGAUUCACAUCUGCCUACAGACUGAACGUGAUCGAGUCGUGGGACCAUAUCCUAUGAGGAAUGGUAAUUUAGACCAUGAAGCCGUUUCAUAGCCGGCUGUGGACCGCAGACUUCCUCUACCCUGCCGUAUAUUUUGAAGUUGCUACCAGCAGAUGCUACGCUAACAAGUGCCCCCCCGUUCGUUAGACAUUAGUCAUCUCUUCCUCCUGCAUCCACCUUGCUGGGACGCUCCGCCGGGGGGUGACCAAGAUAAAGUUUUGACUGGCAGGACCAUUUGUUUUAAUCAGGUGUUUGCAGACACUUGCCUGACCUCCAUUAGUUGAAAUUUUAAUUGAAAUUAACCCCCACUACUACCCCAAUUAACCCACUCCCCCAGCACACACGCAUGCCACACUCCUGGCAUCUGUUCCCGGGGAACCGGGGCAAAGGGAGAGAGAGUACCACAACGCUGCUAGCACUGAGCGAACAUGUCCGCUAGGAAACUCUGCACGCACAUACUCACUCAAACACACAGAUAAACAGAUGCAGACCUUCCUGUGCCCGUCUGAACUCAGUUUAGAAGCAGAGGGACAGGAAGUAACAGAGAGGGAGCAUAACAGUUCCAUCAUGUGUUUGUCCAUUGGUCUUUGAGGGACAGCAAGGAGAUAUCAAAUGUGGAUCAUUUUUCUUUUUUUCAUGACGGUACACAUACAUGACGGUAUGUACCUCAGUCUUGGUUCGGUACAGCAGGGGGAAGAAAACUAAACAUAAAAUUGCUUAUUUUUUCUUCUUUUUUAUUAA